rnacentral:tRNA from 1 species
GGCCUUGUAGCUUAACUGAAUAGAGCACCUGAUUACGGCUCAGGAGGUUCGGGGGUUGAAUCCCUGCGAGGUCACAA